rnacentral:rRNA from 1 species
UACGUAGGUCCCGAGCGUUGUCCGGAUUUAUUGGGCGUAAAGCGAGCGCAGGUGGUUUAUUAAGUCUGGUGUAAAAGGCAGUGGCUCAACCAUUGUAUGCAUUGGAAACUGGUAGACUUGAGUGCAGGAGAGGAGAGUGGAAUUCCAUGUGUAGCGGUGAAAUGCGUAGAUAUAUGGAGGAACACCGGUGGCGAAAGCGGCCCUCUGGCCUGUAACUGACACUGAGGCUCGAAAGCGUGGGAAGCAAACAGG